CUGAGCAAAAAGUUUGGAGGAGACCAGAACCAAGGAGCAGAGGGUCCUCAUGGUGGGUCCUGGGUGGUAGAGAAGAAAGAGGAGGGAGCUGGUGGCCGAGGCCUAAGGAGCUGCUGAGGAGCCUCUGUUUCUAUGGCUCCCAGGUGCUCACACAAGAGGCAAGUGGCUCAGAAAUAUUUCUGGGCUGAUCCUAAGUAUAGAAAGACAUGGCUAUCUGUCCACGGGCCCUGACCAAGGGAGCCGCCCACCCCUGCCCCGCCAGCAACACUGCACAGGUGAGCACAGGCUCACUCCCUGCUCCAGGGCCAGGCUCCUCACCUGCACACCUGACUCAGAGAUUGUUCCAGAAUGGACCCCUCACCUAGGCCUUGGCAACUGGACAGGAUGUUCCCUGGGUAAGGAUGAUCCCUGGGGACGGGCUGUGGUGGAGACGUCAUUAUGGCAAAGCCCAUUGGGUUUGUUCAGUCACUGAGAAAAGAAAAGCUCUUUUUCUCCACAAGGGGACUAAAAACUCAGCAUUGCCCAAGGUUUCAGCAGCCAACUUGCUACUGUGAAAAAGUGGGCCUGAGAAUAAAUCAGAUCCUGGUGAAAAUACACUAGGUUCUUGAUGACUCUGGGUCCCCACUGGAUCCUGAGACCCUGAUGGUUCUAACAGCAGCCCUUGUUUUCUCUUUUUGUUUUUGUUUUCAAUUCUGGUUUGGUCUGAGUUUCUGGUUUGUGAGCUGGCAGUCGGCUUUACCACAGUCAAAUCGCCAGCAGACUUCCAAAUUCCUCUCUGACCUAGUACUUCCAGCUGGAGAAACAUGAGCUUUCUGCUACUUUUCUCAUUAAAAAUCCCCAAGAAUACCAGGAGUUCUGUUUUUUCCUUUUACUAUGUAUGAGUAAAAGGUCUGUUUCUUGGGUAACUGAUUAUGGUAGCAUGAGUUUUAAAGCGAAAUGAGAAGUCUUCUUAGUAUUGUCAAGGACAGAGCAAGGUCACUGAAGCCCAGGGCUAAGCUUUACAUUCUUCACAGUCUCCUGUUUCUUGUCACAAGGCCCUGCCACAGGUGUGCUGAGUGAACCACAGCCAACCCCACACCUGGGGUUUCUGCCUCAAAGUUCCACCACAGGGAGAUGGGGCCACUUUGCCCCACAAAGGGAGCAGCUCAAAAUUGCUGCUUCAGGUGGGGGUGGCAGAGACACUUCCAUGGGGCACGUUCCUGAGUCCUCACCUGGCUCAGAUGUGCUUUUCCCUUGGGGAAGCGGUGCUCCUGAAUCCAGAGAGCUGAUGCUUGCUGGGCCAAGCAUCAGCACAGCAGGGGGAAGUCCAGGCAGGUCAGGCCUCCAGCUCCUUCAGAAUCUGCACGUCCUGCCAAAGCAGCUGUGCCUGCGGCUUAGUUCACAGCGUGGCUUGCAGAUUACGCCAGAGAAGUGAGUGGUAAGGAUCCUUCGUGAAGUGCUUCCACAUGAGAAAAAGACUCAAGGAAGUGGAAUUUUGCUGUUGGAGACCCAGCUUAACAGGCUUUUCACCUUGAGACCUCAGAUGGCAGGGCCCAGAAAUGGACGGAAAAGUCUGUCAACCUCUCAUUUUAAGAGUCUGCAGGAGGAUCAAGACCCUACACAGAACCAGCCUGCAGGCUCCUUGCAAAGCUUCCUCAAGAAAGUCCUCCUGGCUCCUUAAGACCAGGUCAGCUCCUACUGUCACAUGUUCUCUGAGCAUGAGCAUCCAGCACUUAAGAGCAUUUCACAACACAUGUAAUUAGGUAUGUCAAUAUGUCAUCGAUUUUCUUGUCCUGCUCUGCUUUUCAAAUGUGUGGCCCGUGCAUCCUUGCAUUUCCCCUGUUCCCGGGGCAAUGCCUGUGCACAGCAGCCCUUAACUAAAUAUUCCUCCUUGAAUCAGUGAGUGACUAGCCUCAAACUAUCUUGCAUUCUUUUUUUUUUUUUUUUCUUUUUUAGGGCCGCACCCACGGC